GCUUGACGGAUGAUUUCUUCGGAAUGAAACCAGAUAUGACUUAGUGGCGGACGGGUGAGUAACACGUGAGCAACCUGCCUUUCAGAGGGGGAUAACGGCUGGAAACGGUCGCUAAUACCGCAUGACGUGUUCGGAUGGCAUCAUCUGAACAUCAAAGAUUUAUCGCUGAAAGAUGGGCUCGCGUCUGAUUAGAUAGUUGGUGGGGUAACGGCCUACCAAGUCGACGAUCAGUAGCCGGACUGAGAGGUUGAACGGCCACAUUGGGACUGAGAUACGGCCCAGACUCCUACGGGAGGCAGCAGUGGGGAAUAUUGCACAAUGGGGGAAACCCUGAUGCAGCAACGCCGCGUGAAGGAUGACGGUUUUCGGAUUGUAAACUUCUUUUCUUAGUGACGAAGACAGUGACGGUAGCUAAGGAAUAAGCAUCGGCUAACUACGUGCCAGCAGCCGCGGUAAUACGUAGGAUGCAAGCGUUAUCCGGAUUUACUGGGUGUAAAGGGAGCGCAGGCGGGACUGCAAGUUGGAUGUGAAAUACCGUGGCUUAACCACGGAACUGCAUCCAAAACUGUAGUUCUUGAGUGAAGUAGAGGCAAGCGGAAUUCCGAGUGUAGCGGUGAAAUGCGUAGAUAUUCGGAGGAACACCAGUGGCGAAGGCGGCUUGCUGGGCUUUAACUGACGCUGAGGCUCGAAAGUGUGGGGAGCAAACAGGAUUAGAUACCCUGGUAGUCCACACUGUAAACGAUGAUAGCUAGGUGUGGGGGGUCUGACCCCUUCCGUGCCGGAGUUAACGCAAUAAGCUAUCCACCUGGGGAGUACGACCGCAAGGUUGAAACUCAAAGGGAUUGACGGGGGCCCGCACAAGCAGUGG
rnacentral:rRNA from 1 species